UACGUAGGGGGCGAGCGUUGUCCGGAAUCAUUGGGCGUAAAGCGCGUGUAGGCGGCUCGGUAAGUCUGCCGUGAAAGUCCAGGGCUCAACCCUGGGAUGCCGGUGGAUACUGUCGAGCUCGAGUCCGGAAGAGGCGAGUGGAAUUCCUGGUGUAGCGGUGAAAUGCGCAGAUAUCAGGAGGAACACCAAUGGCGAAGGCAGCUCGCUGGGACGUGACUGACGCUGAGACGCGAAAGCGUGGGGAGCAAACAGG
rnacentral:rRNA from 1 species